AGGGGGGGAGGGUCCAAAACGCCACGAAUUUUUAUGGGUGCUUCGAUCUAUGCCAUCUUCAGUCGCAAAGAUAAUAUUAUCUCCUAGAAGCAAGCCCAUUUCAUUGGGAUUGCUUGUGUUGAAGGAAUUUAGAUUUUAGCACGUUGCCUUGGGCUUAAAAAGUUGGUUCCUUGAGGUGGAAUUUCAUGGGUUGAACUCAAAGAAUAAUGGGUAGCUUGAGUGAAGAAGAAUAUCGGUUUUUUGAUGCACACGAGGAGACUGCAUCAAUUUCUGAUGGAAAGUCCGAUAUUAUUGAGACAUUUGAUUCCCAUUCUAGUGCUGAUAAUUCAAUUCCAAAUAGUCCUCAUUAUGAAGUAUGGAUGAAGAGCCCCAUAAGUGUUGAGGAGAGGCGGAGUAAGUUCUUCAGUUGGAUGGGGGUGGGAUUAGAUCAAUGUUCAAAUGAGAGUUCGGUUACAGUGCAUAAUAUGGAAGGGGAGAUUGAUAGAAUCAGAGAGAUCAGUGGGGCUGUGUUGAGAAAAUCAGUUUUUGAAGAUGAGUUUUGUUCAACUCGGUCUACAAUGUCAUGUUGGUCUAAUGAUAACUCCAAUUUGCUAGAGGAGUUGGGUUCAAAGGUGGAUUUCAUAUGUAGGGAGGGGACUUCUGGUGGGGGAAUGGUGUGCAACGAUGAAGUGAGCUUGGAACACUCUGUAACAGCUGAGGAAUCUGGGAACACUUCUGGAUCAUCUCCCUCUUUCAAACAACUUGUACAGCAGGAAAUUGAGGAACCAAGUACUUUUAUGGGUACCCCAAAAAGUGUGAAGAAGCGUUGGUUGAGUAGACUGCGUUCCAUAGCAUGUGUUGUGGAUAAGCAACGAGCAGCUGAAAAAUUGAGGCAUGAUGGCGAUGACUCGCUGCUAGAAUACAGGGUACAGAGAGUUAAGGUUCGCCAACAUGGGAAGCGGACAAAGGAACUUUCAGCUCUUUAUAAGGGGCAAGAUAUCCAGGCCCAUGAGGGUUCAAUUCGGACAAUGAAAUUUAGUCUUGAUGGGCGAUACCUUGCAAGUGCUGGAGAAGACAGAAUUGUGAGAGUGUGGCAAGUCCUGGAAGAUGAGAGAUCAAAUGAACUUGACAUCCCAGAAAUAGAUCCAUCCUGCAUAUAUUUCACCGUCAAUCAACUGUCGGAGUUGAAGCCCCUCUUUACUGAUAAAGAGAAAACAGCUAAAGUGAGGAACCUGAGGAAAACAUCAGAUUCUGCUUGUGUCAUUUUCCCUCCAAAAAUUUUCCGGAUAUUGGAGAAACCGUUGCAUGAAUUCCAUGGACACAGCAGAGAGAUCUUGGAUCUCUCCUGGUCAAAGGAUCAUCAUUUGCUGUCAGCUUCGGAGGAUAAGUCAGUUCGUCUAUGGCAAGUAGGAAAUGACCAUUGCCUUCGAGUCUUUUCACAUAAUAAUUAUGUAACCUGCGUUCAGUUUAACCCUGUGGACGAUAAUUAUUUCAUGAGUGGCUCCAUAGAUGGAAAAGUUCGCAUUUGGGCAAUUCCCAGUUGCCAAGUUGUUGAUUGGACUGAUAUAAAAGAAAUGGUUACUGCAGUGUGUUAUCAUCCAAAUGGACAGGGAGGGAUUGUAGGCUCCAUGGGAGGCAAUUGUCGCUUUUAUGAUAUGUCAGGUAUGCUUAUUCAGAUAAAUAGCAUAUAGCAGUCUUUAGGGCGUUAAAUUGUUCCUUUUUCCUUAUAAAGUAAAUCUUUUGACUGUAUAUAUAUUAUAUCCUUGUUGAAAUACAGCUUGCAUGACCAGUCUCUUAAAUUCUAAUUUUAUGAUUUUAGUAGUAUAAGGGGUGGUGCUUUAUUUGGUUACAAAUGUAUGAUUUCUAAUUACUUAAUCCAACCAAUGAUGUGCUAGCCUAGUGGUUAGCACUGACUUACUGGGCUGGAGACAUCCCAGGUUCGAGCCUGGGUGGAUGUCAACUGUACUGUUUGACCUAUAGACUGACAUCUUGCUAUCUGCUUCUUGGGGUUUCCUGACCACUUCAAGGGGCCAGUGGGUGAUUAUUCCUGCCCAGCUGGGAUACACCUCCUGCAGAAAAAAAAAGGCUUAGUCCUAGUAGUUUUCAUUGAUUUUGUGAGGAAUUCUCGACAUUGCAAGUUUCAUGGGUUUAUGUAUGGUUUACUGUUUAGAAGGAGAUUUAGCUUUAUGCAAGUGGAGAGUAGCAUGUCUGUUUCUUGAAGGAACUACAGAUGGAUAAGAUUCUAUGAUAAAUAAAAGAGGGAUAAAAUCAUCUAGUAGGCAGUCUAUGAGUUGGAUGUACCUUAAAUCUGACUGUGUAGACCAUCAUAUGAAAAUCAUACAGAUUGCAUAAAGUUCAGAUCUAGUAUGUUGUCAAUUACCUUAAAAUAAGAUAAAUGAUUUAAAGAAGAAUGUCCACAUUAAACUGCAAGUUUUUUGUUUUCUUGUUUCAGACAGUCACUUGGAACUGGAUGCUCGGAUAUGUUUGCACAAUAAAAAGAAGUCACCUUGCAAAAGGAUAACUGGCUUCCAGUUCUUCCCACGAGACUCAACCAAAGUAAUGGUGACCUGUGCUGAUUCACAAGUUAGAAUUCUUCAAGGUCUUAAUGUGAUUGGCAAAUACACAGGUCUAAAAGAUGCAGCAAGCCAGAUAUCUGCAUGUUUUACUUCAGAUGGAAAGCAUAUUAUCUCAGCUUGUGAGGAUUCCAAUAUAUAUGUGUGGAAUUGCGUUGAUCAGAAAGAACAUAGUCCUGUGCAAGCAAAAAAGAUAAGGUCUUGUGAGCGUUUCUCUACAAAUGCAUCUGUUGCAAUACCUUGGUGUGGCUUUCAAAAUGGGAACUCAGAAAAUGGAGGAGGAUUUUAUGUCUCAAAUGAUGAUUCACUAGAAGCUAUGCCAUUUUCUUCACCGGCUGGUUUUUCUUUGGGUCAAGAAUAUUUCUUAGAACCCUUUCCCAAGGGUUCUGCAACUUGGCCAGAGGAAACGCUGCCUUCGUCAAGCCCGUUGUCCACAUCAUCAGCAAUGCACAAAUCCCAGUACAAGUUUUUGAAAGCUUCAUGUCAGAGUACAGCCACUUCUCAUGCAUGGGGCCUAGUCAUUGUGACUGCAGGAUGGGAUGGACGAAUUAGAUCAUUCCACAAUUAUGGGUUACCGGUAAAUGUCUGAGAUUUUAGUGGGUUGACAGUGCUUCAGAGAAUCAGAAAUAGUCCCUUUGGUUGGGAUCUAUAGUGCCCCUUCCAUGGGUAUGCUGCAAAUCAGGUGUUGCAUGGUCUAGCAAGUAGUGUUGAGACAUGGCAGCAUGAACAGUAGCAGCAAGUCCAGAUUUGAGUGAUUGUGCAGUAUUUCAGUGUAGGUGGAUUUUGAGAGUAUGGCCUGGGCCCUUCUUAGAUAUCAGGGGUAUAUGGGAAUGGAAGUUUAUAAUGACAAGUGGCAGCAGUUCUGUGGUUGCCACGUUAUCCAGCUUGGGAUGACCAAGUGGCUGAGGUUAGCUUAUCUGGAUACCCAGUUUAAUCUUACAAUUUGUUCAUUUGUUACUUUUAAAAAUUUUGUUUGCCAGUCCAGAAAAAGAAUUGCAAGUUGUGUUAGGAGAGAUCAAUUAGAGAUAUUACCUCUUUAUAAUGGAGGCGAUCAUGGGACCAUUGUCAAAUUUCUUUUGCUUGCUAAAAUGGGAGGACAGAAUCCAGAGCAAGUGGUUUGAGUUAAUUUGGGGAAAAAAUGGUGGGGAACUUUGCCGUUAUAACACGUUGGCUGAUCUCAAUGAUUGAAUUGUUUGCCGGCCAUUUUAGACCUCAUGGUAGGGUCAUAUUCAAACUCUGUUCCUCGGAAUUGCUUGUUUAGUUAACCUAUUACUCAAACAUCUGCAAGCCAUCCCCAUUUUUGUUUGGUGAACACAUGUCCAUUGUAAAGCUUGUGGCUUUUGCUCAUGGAUGCUGGCUGGCAGUUAACUAACCAUCGGUUAUCAUCUGAGAGUGCUGAUAACUUCCUUUUUGUCUUGCUAACAGAAUUUUAUACAUGUACUCUUUAAAAUUUAUUCUAACAUCACCUGGAUUAGUUUUGAGUGGCUAGGCUUUUAUCUUUCAUUUUGUUUUUGGCCUUUGGAAAAUUUUAGAGGAAAAUUCCUUCUGGGUCUAGCAUACACCAAUUGUAGUUAUGUAAAUAAGACUUUUCAGGGGUUAUUUUUCCCUGUAUACUCUUCUGGCAAUGGCUUGGAAAAUACCAAAGAUAAUUGAUAAGCAUUUGUGCAGCUUGUAUCCCAGACAAUGAAGUCUGUCAAUAUCUUGGAUUCAUGUGGCUUGGCAUGUGUGGAUUUUUCAGUAUUAUUUGAUGAGAACUGUGAUGAACUGUUGCUACUUUACUCAAAUUAUAAUGCUUCCUAAAGUAAAGGUUGCUGUUGA
rnacentral:misc_RNA from 1 species